GUAAGUGAGCAUUCACCCUCGGCCUAGGAGGGGCCUGUGAACAAACCCUCGGGCUCUGAGGAACUCCAGGAGACCCUCCACGGAGCCAGUGGGGUCUGGCUUCUUCUGCUGAGGCCGAUGGCAGUGUAAGGCCUCGGAGCGGGACCUGGAAGGCAAAGGGCAGGAGUGGCACUGAGGCUCGAAGAAUUGACCCGCCCCGCUGCUUUCGCAGAUGACCCAUUCAUCGAUGAUCAGUGCAUGAAGAUUCCACCAGUGAAUGCGAUGUGGCUGUGGAAUUUGGAGCAACAGAGUUUGACCUACACAGAAUAUGCUGUCCUCUGUCUUGAGCCAAAGAAUAAGAAAUUCCUUUCCUGCAUGCAAUUCAAUAAUGAUGCAUUUUGUAACAAACUGCCUUAGAGGUUUAGUGUGAUGUACUGGAAUAAACAAAGCUUUGGGUUCAGACCGUCAUAGACUUAAA